UUGCAGAAGAACUAGGGUUCCGAUCAUUGGAUGCGCUCCAAUGGUGUCUGGUCCGAGAGUUCUCGGUCUUGUCGGAGACAAGGCUCCACGGAGGGAUAAAAGCCCGGGAGGA
rnacentral:sRNA from 1 species